CACAGAGUGGCAUUUGUUAUUGUUGUACAGUACAGUUCUGAAUUUCAUUGUAUUCUUUGAUAUUACUAUCCUUUGCAGGAGUUCAUAUGAAUAAGUAAUCCUGAGGUCUGUAACUCCAAUUAAACAGAUGAAAACACAAGUGUUAAUAGAUGUUACAUACUGGAUACUGAAAAGAUUCGAAUAGGUUUUGUUAUUAUGUCCUCCAUAAUUUAUAUCUUAACCCAUGAGUAAUGUUGCUUCAAACUGACUUACAGCGUCAUUAACGGAAUGUUCAUAGUGGAUGAAAGCCUUCCAGUGUUGGCGACCUGAACAUAAACAUUGUAACAACAGCAUAUGACUUUUAACAAAGAGUCAGUCAAUGAUUGCAUUCAGUUAUCACUGUAAUUCCAUUUAUUGUCAUUAAAUACCCUCAGUUUAUUUUAUAAUAUUCUGCCAAACUAUGUGUAAUACCAUAUGGGGAACACCAUGUGCUCCAUAUAAUCUGCUUAAAACAGAAUAAAUUCCACUCAUGCUAAGUUACUUUAAUUAACUUCUCAGUAAGAUAAUUAAAUUAUUAUUCCUGUAUGUGUAGGAUAUUGCUUCCAGAAUACAAAAGAAAUUCUCACCCAGAGAAGAAGUUAUCUUCAAGUACAAAAUACAAAUGUGUAUGUACACCAUGGUUUGGAAGACAGAGGAAAGUAGUUUUAGUCAGUAAUAGGAAAAUAUACUUAAUAUAUUAAUGAGAUUCACAGUAAGUCCUUGUAUGAUAAUGUACUAUAUCCAGAAAGAACAUACUGUACAAGGCAUAAACUAGAAAGAAGGUGUUGUUCAUUAGAAGUUAAAUAAAAUCACUCAAAUCCUUUGGUUCUUCCUGAAAAUUAACACAACUUGGACAUUCAACAUUUUAUUUUUUCCUUUCUGAGAGACCUUAGUAUGAUAAUUUAGUAUCUCAUUAAGCACCACACUCUGAGUAAGAUCACAGCUCACUGAUGUUCAUAGACAGUACCUUAGUGCAAAACUCUGAACGAUAUCAUAUACUUCGUAAUAAUUCAGUAACAGAAGCAAUUUUCUAUGGCACAGGGGAGCACAACAGAAAACAUAACAAUGAUAGCAAAUCAGCAAGACCCCAGACUACAGUAAGAAUUCACUCAAAAGCAACAGCCAUAGGUACAAAAACAAGGAAAAGAAGCUGCUUACCUUCAGAAGUCCUUAACUACAUAGGGAUCUUCAAAAAGACAUUCUUCCCUCUCCUGCCAACCCUUAAAUGAGGUCUGGGAAGGGGUGGAUCCUGGCUUCAUCCCAUCCAGUCAGUCAGGUACUUGCAUGCACCUGAGCUCCCCUGGGUUGGCCCUGUCUUCCCAUCAGUUGCUCAAUCACGGUUUCAAGACACGACUUAGUAUUUCCAUGACAUGCAGCUUUCAGAAUUGAAUCACUAUAUCCAGAACCCUUGCAUUAUAUCUGCUACUUUGUCUCCAAACUUGAUUUUUUCAUCUUUCAAAUGUUGCCUGGUGUUAGUCCUAAAAGAGAAUGAAUCCCACUAACUUCUCAGUAAAGGCAGGGCACAACAGUACACUGAGGGAACCUGGGCUGUACUAGCUGGUUCUGUGGGCCACAACAAGGCUGCAUUGGUGUCAUAGAAGCAGCAAUUGGUUUUCUCUGUGAAAACUGUGGGAGAAGUUCAGCAGCUGUUAUUCAUUUUUUUUUUCCUCUUUUAUAUUAUUCAUUUUAAUAUACUGAUAUACAUAGUAAUUGAUGGUUAUCACUUUCCAUAGAUUUCAUAUUUACCUGUUUGGUUUUUUUUUUUUUUCCAUGAACAAAACCUGCAAUUAUUCUGCAUUAUCCUAACUAUAAAGUAUAUAUUUUUUUAACUCUGUGAGAUAUUCAUUAUUUAUAAGCAGAAGACAAGCACUGGAGGGCUGUAGAACCAGCUCUGCCCUUAUCUUACCCUAUGGCCUUUUAAAGUCUCUUCAACUUUUUAUGUUCCCCAUUUGAAAAAUAGACAUAAUAUUUUCAUACCUAGAUUACAGGAGUCCUUUGAAUUCACUGGUGUCUUAUCAAUGUGCGACAGUGUGUUCUCGGCUGCCUCCAACCUCCUCCUUUAGUUUGGCCAUUACACCCAAUUUCUAUGGGUGUAAUUGGCAAUGAAACAGUCAUCUUUUUCAGACGAUGCUAAACUUUAUUUGGCAGCUAAUUGCUCCACAUUCAUAUGGACCUCAAAAAAAAAAUGGAGCUGGCCAAACAUGAAAUGCAGUUUCAGUGCAGAUAAAUGAAAACUAAUGCACAUAAGGAGAAAUAAUAUAUCUUGAUCCUACAUAAUGCUUAACUUGCAUUACGUUGUUUGUUUUCACUCAGGAAACAAAUUGUUCACCCAUCCAGAGUUUUCAAAAAUCAAUAACUCAACAUGCAGCAGAACCAAAAAACCAAUAACAAAAAAUUUCUAGCUUCAAGAAAGGUGCUGCAAAGGUGCUGAAAUAGGGUAGUUUUUUUAUUGCUACAUAAAAUUUCAUACAUCAACAACUUGGUUACAUAUGCAGUUCUGGUUUUCAAGGAGAGUAUUUUGGAUUUAGAGAAGUUGCAGAGAAGCAUGGUUAGAUUGCUGAAGGAAAUUAAGGAGGAAGCCUGAAGUGUUUUGGUUAGGAGAGAAAAAUACUGAAUGCAUAGAUAAGAGAUUUACUAACACGUGGGUACAAUGUAUGAAGUGACUGAAACAGUCACUCAUCAAUUCUUGCAGUUCUGAAUCUUUGGGCAAUUCGUAAAAUUAACAGGUUAUCCAAAGUAUGUAAAAAAGAAUAUUUUACACAGGAGGUGAUGAAUAUCUGAAGGUUGUAUCAUGGGAUUUUAUGGAAGGAAACAAUAUUUUUGGGUUCAAAAAACAAACAACAACAACAAAACAGCUAGAUAAAUGAAUGGAUAUCAAAACCUAGUCAGUAGACCAUUUUCUCCUCUGAGACUGUUCUUUGUUUUUUGAUGCAAUGGAAACGUGUUCAGGUAUCUAUGGACGCUUGAUGAGGUUUACAGAAAAACAAAUCAAAAAUGUUUCAGUAAAUCUUGAAAUUCUUGCUAUAGAGAGUCUUACUUGCUAAUUUAUUAUGGACCGGUUGGUGUUUCUUUGUGUCACAUUUUCUUGGAAAAUCAUUGACAAAAAGGUUUAAAAAGUUAUAUUGCAGUAUUUUUUAUACUUUUUUUUUUUUUGUGGUUUAACAAUUUUAUAUAUUCUGCCUUAAUACAUCAAGUUACUUUUAACUUAUCCUAUGUGUUAACGUAAUGUAAUUUAAAUGUCUUACAUUUGCAUCAGCUGCCAGUACUUAAAGUUAAUUUAUCUGCCUCCUAGCAUCUGAAAAUGAGAGCUAUUUCCCCUGACUCUGAAAGGCUUCUUCAAUAAAAGAAAACAAGAUUGGGAAUCUCUAACUAAAUAUUUAUGUAUUAUUCUAAUCUCCUUUUUAUUUUAUUAGAUGAAUCUAAAGUAACUUGUAUAGAAGAAAAUAUCUUCAUGUUUACAAUCUAAAUGCUAUUCUAUUCUAAUUAGAUUUACACAAGGAAGAAUUAUAUAG
ensembl:lncRNA